CAAACGGGUGAGUAUAAUGUGGGAAUCUGCCUUUUGGUUUGGAAUAACACGGGGAAACUUGUGCUAAUACCGAAUAAGCCUUUACAGGGAAAGUUUUAACGCCAAGAGAUGAGCCCGCACUUGAUUAGCUAGUUGGUAAGGUAAAAGCUUACCAAGGCAACGAUCAAUAGCUGUUCUUAGAGGAAGACCAGCCACAUUGGGACUGAGACACGGCCCAGACUCCUACGGGAGGCAGCAGUGGGGAAUCUUGCACAAUGGGGGAAACCCUGAUGCAGCGAUGCCGCGUGAGUGAAGAAGGCCCUUGGGUUGUAAAACUCUUUCGUCGGGGAAGAAAAUGACUGUACCCGAAUAAGAAGGUCCGGCUAACUUCGUGCCAGCAGCCGCGGUAAUACGAAGGGACCUAGCGUAGUUCGGAAUUACUGGGCCUAAAGAGCUCGUAGGUGGUUAAAAAAGUUGAUGGUGAAAUCCCAAGGCUCAAACUUGGAACUGGCAUCAAAACUUUUUAGCUAGAGUGUGAUA
rnacentral:rRNA from 1 species